GCGCGGCGGUGGGCGAGUUAGGGAUAGCCCUAGUGGGAGUAGGUUAGGUGUUUGGUCGCGAGAGAGGUUUUAGGAGGAGCUUAAGGUGUAGCUCGGUUGGUAUCGGUGGAAGGAGGAGGGGAGCUAGGUAGGUUAGGGCGUAGGUGGAGGAACGAAGAGCAGACGGAGCUGGCCUCGUUCCGAGGGGACGAGUACCGCGGGCGGUUCGGGGAGCGGGUCGGAGACGAAGGUACGAGGUCUAACUUGUGGUUCCGGGUCAAGUCCGGCGGGGGCGAGGAGGAGUGGAGCAGGCGCAGCGGCUCUAGCGCGGUCCAAGGGGCGCGUCGGCGGCACGGAGAAGAGCAGACGUGGUUCAGGGGCGCGGUGGCCCGUAGACGGAGGGGACGGAGGACCUGUUCAGACUGGAGGGCGUCGAGGAAGCAGGACAGGCGGGGCGCGGGCUCCGGGACGGAAGAGGAGCAGGUGUGGCUGGCUUCGGUCGUCGACGAGCUCCAGGGCUCGUCCUCGCGAACCGGAGCAGGGGAGCGCGGUAGCGUCCGCUGCUGGAGGAAGCCGGAACAGACGGGGUAGGGGCAGCUGCCGGGCAACAGAUGUCCGGUAGGGGCAGGAGACGAAGCGGUACCGGCGGGGACUCGAGGCAGGCGCGGCAGCAACGGGCCUAGGCCGCGGCCGGUCGGCCUAGGCGGGGUAGAGGUGUAGCAGCCGGAAGGGACGCCGACGACGGCACGGCAACUGGGGCAGGAGCGGCGCGGGGACCAAGGAGACGAAGCUUCUACUUGCUCCGCGCGGGUCGGAGCAACUGGCGCAGGGACGAACAGACCUUGCGGUCGUCGGGUUGACGGGUCGCGGAGGGGUUCCAGGUCGGACGCGGGGCGCCGGACGGUCGGAGGAGGUGGCUUGGCCCGGUUCGGGUACCCAACGGAAGCCAAAGCAAGGCUUCAACACUCCUAAGCAAGCUGAUGCAAGCAGACAGAAGAAGUACCUGAGCAAGAAGAAGGAACGCCCUAAAGUUCGUUCUACUGGCGAUGGGACCUAGAGUGAUGAUAGUAACGAUACGAUCAACGAAGUAAGAUAACGAUACAACACGAUGGAUAGUGGACAAAUAGUUCGGUAGGGUUUAACUGUACUUGGAGAUUAGGAAACUGUGGGAAGGAUCGUUUGGCAACGAACCGAUACAAUGGCGAAACGAGUCGGGGAGAAUAUCGCAACGAUCAACGUCCACUUCAACUUCUAACGGGGUACCACCUGUCCUAAUACAACCCUAUAGUGUUAUAGAGAAUAAAUUAAUUACGUAGAUAUAUAAACCAUUUCCCACCUUCUGAGCCGGAAUACGGACCACAAAACAAGGUGAGAACGGUGGGAUCAAAGGCAGUAUGGCCACAAUACAAGAACCUAAAACGCAAAGAAUGCGCCAACCCACUAAAUACCCUGGGGGAACUGUCAAGCGAAACUUAUUUUGAGGAGGUCGUUCCGGGUUGGAACCAGAAUAGUAAACGGAGUGGUGGUGGAUAUGUAAAGGGAACCCAGCCGGUUGGGCUCCCAGUAGAAAUAAAAUCGGGGGGGGGGGGCCCGGUCACGAACAGAUUCACAACCAGGCUUGGCUCAUCUGACGUCCCGGGGGAGCCCCUUUGAACUCCAGACCAAAAUGAGCAUCCUACAGAGUAGGCCACAACGGGACUCUUGCUCUAUACACGUCGAGGAUAGUCCUAACAGCCGCGUAGCCCGCCGAAACGACCAGAACAAAAUGGUAACAGCUUUACAGAACAUUUGGCCCUAAGGCUCAGACUAGCCCAGAAGGACCCUCUUCCAUAUAGGAAGCAACUAGCGCUCUCGAAUAGUACCCGAUUCAACCCUGUGGGGACGUCCCAUAUUAGAAAGUUUUCAGCACGGACGCCAAUAUCCGUCUACUCUUAAACAAUUACAGGCCAACAUCUAUUGAACUGUGGUCUAGGCUUAAUUUUGCGUAGUUGGCGCACACAUCGGCACUACCAGAGAAAAGCCGCCUCGGGCCCUUCACUUGUACCAGAAACCCAAUACAAACUGCAUUCAUCCUCAAGUCCUAGUGAAGAACUAGUAACGAUCGAAGUGCUAGCAAGGCGAACGAGAGAAGAGCGAGAAUAAACGCAUCCAAUCGGUGGUAUGAACGAAUCAGCAACGACGUUGGAGUGGUGAAAUGGGUAAGGAAAGGGUAAUUCUAAACGAUCAUAACUAUGGGUACCAUUACCCUAACGACUCAGGAGCACCGAGUGUCUAAUGAUGUUGUUGUCAACGUCCAUGUCCAAUACACUACUAGUACUGCGCUCUCGCUACGAACGAACGAACUCGAGAAGAAGACGAAGAAGAAGCUAGUCCCUAUCCAAGGUCUAGCCGUCGGACCCGAUCGUCCCACCUACAGCAAACUCAAAGACAAACACAAAGUAGGCAUCAGCCUACUACGAGAAUACACAACACUACAACAUAAACUCACCGUAACAUACGGAAUACAUAAAUAGGGG
rnacentral:rRNA from 1 species